AAGCUUUUUGUGACGGUACCUGGAGAAGAAGCACCGGCUAACUACGUGCCAGCAGCCGCGGUAAUACGUAGGGCGCAAGCGUUGUCCGGAAUUAUUGGGCGUAAAGAGCUCGUAGGCGGUUUGUCGCGUCUGCUGUGAAAGCCCGGGGCUCAACCCCGGGUCUGCAGUGGGUACGGGCAGACUAGAGUGCAGUAGGGGAGACUGGAAUUCCUGGUGUAGCGGUGGAAUGCGCAGAUAUCAGGAGGAACACCGAUGGCGAAGGCAGGUCUCUGGGCAGUAACUGACGCUGAGGAGCGAAAGCAUGGGGAGCGAACAGGAUUAGAUACCCUGGUAGUCCACGCCGUA
rnacentral:rRNA from 1 species